AUUGAACGCUGGCGGCAGGCCUAACACAUGCAAGUCGAGCGGAUGAAGAGAGCUUGCUCUCUGAUUCAGCGGCGGACGGGUGAGUAAUGCCUAGGAAUCUGCCUGGUAGUGGGGGACAACGUUUCGAAAGGAACGCUAAUACCGCAUACGUCCUACGGGAGAAAGUGGGGGAUCUUCGGACCUCACGCUAUCAGAUGAGCCUAGGUACGAUUAGCUAGUUGGUGAGGUAAAGGCGCACCAAGGCGACGAUCGCUAACUGGUCUGAGAGGAGGAUCAGUCAAGCUGGAACUGAGACACGGUCCAGAGUCCGACGGGAAGCAGCAGUGGGGAAUAUUGGACAAUGGGCGAAAGCCUGAUCCAGCCAUGCCGGGUGUGUGAAGAAGGUCUUCGGAUUGUAAAGCACUUUAAGUGGGGAGGAAGGGCAGUAAGUUAAUACCUUGCUGUUUUGACGUUACCGACAGAAUAAGCACCGGCUAACUUCGUGCCAGCAGCCGCCGUAA
rnacentral:rRNA from 1 species